rnacentral:piRNA from 1 species
UUCAAAUAUCUCUUCUUCAGCCGGUGAAGC